rnacentral:misc_RNA from 1 species
CUGCAAAAGGCUUCGAUUUUUGCCAGAGCUUCCGCCCCAUUUACAACGUUUAGAUGCAACGGGUUGCAUAUCACUGCGAACAGCUUCAAAUUCAAUGAUUGCUUCUCAGAGAAGGAUGGGGAAGGUUCUUUUUCAUGAACUGCUUUAGUUUGGAUGAGAAUGAACAUGGAAACAUUUUGUUACAUGCACAACAGAGGACAUUACAUUUGGC